rnacentral:rRNA from 1 species
UACAGAGGUCUCAAGCGUUGUUCGGAUUCAUUGGGCGUAAAGGGUGCGUAGGUGGCGCCGUAAGUCGGGUGUGAAAUUUCGGAGCUUAACUCCGAAACUGCAUUUGAUACUGCCUUGCUUGAGGACUGGAGAGGAGACUGGAAUUCACGGUGUAGCAGUGAAAUGCGUAGAGAUCGUGAGGAAGACCAGUGGCGAAGGCGGGUCCCUGGACAGUUCCUGACACUGAGGCACGAAGGCCAGGGGAGCAAACGGG